rnacentral:rRNA from 1 species
AUUGAACGCUGGCGGCAGGCCUAACACAUGCAAGUCGAACGAGUGGCGGACGGGUGAGUAAUGUCUGGGAAACUGCCAGAUGGAGGGGGAUAACUACUGGAAACGGUAGCUAAUACCGCAUACCAUCGGAUGUGCCCAGCUGGGAUUAGCUAGUGGGUGGGGUAACGGCUAACCUAGGCGACGAUCCCUAGCUGGCCUGAGAGGAUGACGAUCCACACUGGAAUGGAAACACGGUCAAGCCUCCUACGGGAGGCAGCAGUGGGGAGUAUUGCAAAAUGGGCGCAAGCCUGAUGCAGCCAUGCCGUGUGUAUGAAGAAGGCCUUCGGGUUGUAAAGUGCUUUCAGCGAGGAGGCGUUGCUCUCAGAAGAAGCACCGGCUAACUCCGUGCCAGCAGCCGCGGUAAUAC